rnacentral:rRNA from 1 species
AGUGAACGCUGGCGGUAGGCCUAACACAUGCAAGUCGAACGGCAGCACAGUAAGAGCUUGCUCUUACGGGUGGCGAGUGGCGGACGGGUGAGGAAUACAUCGGAAUCUACUUUUUCGUGGGGGAUAACGUAGGGAAACUUACGCUAAUACCGCAUACGACCUACGGGUGAAAGCAGGGGAUCUUCGGACCUUGCGCGAUUGAAUGAGCCGAUGUCGGAUUAGCUAGUUGACGGGGUAAAGGCCCACCAAGGCGACGAUCCGUAGCUGGUCUGAGAGGAUGAUCAGCCACACUGGAACUGAGACACGGUCCAGACUCCUACGGGAGGCAGCAGUGGGGAAUAUUGGACAAUGGGCGCAAGCCUGAUCCAGCCAUACCGCGUGGGUGAAGAAGGCCUUCGGGUUGUAAAGCCCUUUUGUUGGGAAAGAAAAGCAGCAGGUUAAUACCCCGCUAUUCUGACGGUACCCAAAGAAUAAGCACCGGCUAACUUCGUG